rnacentral:rRNA from 1 species
GGGGAAUCUUGCACAAUGGGCGAAAGCCUGAUGCAGCGACGCCGCGUGGGCGAAGAAGGCCUUUGGGCCGUAAAGCCCUGUCGGGAGGGAAGAAGGAAGCGACGGUACCCCCCAAGUAAGCCCCGGCUAACUACGUGCCAGCAGCCGCGGUAACACGUAGGGGGCGAGCGUUAUCCGGAAUCAUUGGGCGUAAAGGGUGCGUAGGCGGCCUUUUAAGCGCGGGGUCUAAGGCGGUGGCCCAACCACCGUUCGCCCCGCGAACUGGAGGGCUAGAGUGUCGGAGAGGGAAGCGGAAUUCCUAGUGUAGCGGUGAAAUGCGUAGAUAUUAGGAGGAACACCAGUGGCGAAGGCGGCUUCCUGGACGAAGACUGACGCUGAGGCACGAAAGCGUGGGGAGCGAACAGG